GCGCGAGUGGUUUAGUGGUUAUAAUCUGGCCUUGCCAAGGCUGGGACCCGGGUUCGAUUCCCGGCUUGCGCA
rnacentral:tRNA from 1 species